rnacentral:rRNA from 1 species
UGUCCCAGCCGCCGCGGUAAUACGAAGGGCCCGAGCGUUGCGCGGAAUCAUUGGGCUUAAAGCGUACGUAGGCGGACGAGCAGGCACCUUGUGAAAGCCCUCGGCUCAACCGAGGAAUUGCUUGGUGAACCGCUCGUCUUGAGGCAAGUAGGGGCUGUCGGAACGAUAGGUGGAGCGGUGAAAUGCGUUGAUAUCUAUCGGAACGCCAAAGGUGAAGACAGGCAGCUGGGCUUGUUCUGACGCUGAGGUACGAAAGCGUGGGGAGCGAACGGGAUUAGAUACCCCGGUAGUCCACGCCGUAAACGAUGUGCACUAGAUCGAGGGGGUUCUGACGCCAUUCUCGGUCGAAGCAAAAGUGUUAAGUGCACCGCCUGGGGAGUACGGUCGCAAGGCUAAAACUCAAAGGAAUUGACGGGGGCUCACACAAGCGGUGGAGCAUGUGGCUUAAUUCGAAGCGACGCGAAGAACCUUAUCCUGGGUUGAACUAUGACGGAUUAGCUCCUGGAAACAGGAGUGACGCCUCCGGGUGGAACGUCGAUAGGUGCUGCAUGGCUGUCGUCAGCUCGUGCCGUGAGGUGUUAGGUUAAGUCCUUUAACGAGCGAAACCCCUGUCGCUAGUUGCCAGCGCGUCAUGGCGGGGACUCUAGCGAGACCGCCGGCGUCAAGUCGGAGGAAGGUGGGGAUGACGUCAAGUCCGCAUGGCCUUUAUGCCCAGGGCUGCACACGUGCUACAAUGGCGGGUACAGAGCGACGCAAUACCGCGAGGUGGAGCAAAUCGCGAAAACCCGCCCCAGUUCGGAUUGCAGGCUGCAAUUCGCCUGCAUGAAGUUGGAAUCGCUAGUAAUCGCGGAUCAGCUACGCCGCGGUGAAUACGUUCCUGAGCCUUGUACACACCGCCCGUCAAGUCAUGGAAGCUGGCAGCGCCUUAAGUCGCCACAAUUCAGUGGUGCCCACGGCGAAGCUGGUGACUGGGACUAAGUCGUAACAAGGUAAA